ACGCUCGACACCUACAGGAGGCAGCAGUGGGGAAUAUUGCACAAUGGGGGAAACCCUGAUGCAGCGACGCCGCGUGAGUGAAGAAGUAAUUCGUUAUGUAAAGCUCUAUCAGCAGGGAAGAAAGUGACGGUACCUGAGUAAGAAGCCCCGGCUAACUACGUGCCAGAGCCGCGGUAAUCUGAGCGGGCUGGCAAGGC
rnacentral:rRNA from 1 species